GACGAACGCUGGCGGCGUGCUUAACACAUGCAAGUCGAACGCUGAAGCACCAGCUUGCUGGUGUGGAUGAGUGGCGAACGGGUGAGUAAUACGUGAGUAACCUGCCCUUGACUCUGGGAUAAGCCCGGGACACUGGGUCUAAUACUGGAUGCUACAUGUCACCGCAUGGUGGUGUGUGGAAAGGGUUUACUGGCCUUGGAUGGGCUCACGGCCUAUCAGCUUGUUGGUGAGGGAAUGGCUCACCAAGGCGACGACGGGUAGCCGGCCUGAGAGGGUGACCGGCCACACUGGGACUGAGACACGGCCCAGACUCCUACGGGAGGCAGCAGUGGGGAAUAUUGCACAAUGGGCGAAAGCCUGAUGCAGCGACGCCGCGUGAGGGAUGACGGCCUUCGGGUUGUAAACCUCUUUCAGCAGGGAAGAAGCCACAAGUGACGGUACCUGCAGAAGAAGCGCCGGCUAACUACGUGCCAGCCGCCGCCGUAA
rnacentral:rRNA from 1 species